AGACCCUCUUUCACUUUGCCAAUUGGACUUUAUGUCUUCCUUGACCAGUGGGACAAAGGAAAUAAACUUUUAAAACUCAGACAAACUCACCUGUUUGUUUUGUAACCUGUCAGGGGAAACAUUG